GCCUGGGUGGCGAAAUUGGUAGACGCAGCUGAUUCAAAAUCAGCCGGGUAAAACCGUGCCGGUUCGAGUCCGGCCCUAGGCA
rnacentral:tRNA from 2 species